GCAAGCUGGCAAAGACUGAGCCGCAGUGUUGGGCUAAGACUACGAUAGAUUGCUAAAGAUUCACGGGAACUGCCCUGCGGAACUAACCUCUGUGAUACUGCAACUUGAGGAGUCAACAGGAUCUAUUGCUGUUGACCAAAUCGGCCGCUCAAUUAUUCUGUAUAGGCCUAGCACUAGCAAGAUGAAAAAGAGGCAAGAGGUUGCUGAAAAUGCUAGGAGAUUUGCGAGAGCUAAAGAAGAAAUGCUAGGCGAUUUGUAAAAUCUGAAGAAUCAUUUGAAGAACGUCCUAGAAACAGCCCAGGCAGAAGAUUUGUUAAAUCUGGAUCCACAUUUAGCUCUCAGCAGAAGAGGAGACCAAUGGCAUCCAAGGGAUCGUCAUACAGCCGAGGGUAGCAGCAGCAUAAAAAGGUAUAUGGCUUGUUUUCUUGUUGUCUGGACUCUGGAGAGACCAUGUAAAUUUUAGACAAACUAGCUGGUAUAUGGAUGCUAGUGCUAAUUCUAGUCUUUGCCAGUAAGCUACGGUUCCAACUUCCAUGUCUCAUUCAUCAACCACAACAAAAUAGGGACAAGCUACUUUAUGCCCAGACUAAAAACAUGAGAUAACCUAAUUGAUCUACAUAUCUGACCUACUCGGACAAAUUGGUGUGUCAUCAUAUUUCUCUUCCAUCUGUCUCCUGGAUGUAUCCUUCAAAUCUGAGCACAGGAACAUGAUUUUUCUCCAUAUUUGAAUGUAUACUUAUUUCAUACA